AAUCAAUUGGCUUAUAAUUGAAGUCUGGAAUGAAAGGGAAAUUGGGGUUAGACUGUCUUAUGAAUAAUACCUAGAAUUUACUAAAUAGGUGAAAAUUCCUAUACGUGGAAAAAAGACGAGAAGACCCUAGAAAUUUUAAUAAUAAAUCACUUUAUUUUUGUUGGGGCGACAGGGUAACAGAAAACUUACCCGACUAUAUAGGCAGUUUAUAAACUGUGCAAUCAAAUUACUCUAGGGAUAACAGCAUAAUAUUUUAAAGAUUGUGACCUCGAUGUUGGACUAGGGAGUAUAAUACUUAAAAGGUAUUAUAAUUGGCU
rnacentral:rRNA from 1 species